GUGCUAGCUCUGGCAGCACAUAUUCUAAAAUUGGAACAAUACAAAGAUUAACAUGGCCCCUGCUCAAGGAUGACACACUUAUUUAUGAAGCGUUCUAUAUUAAA